UGGCUCUUUCCCCUUUUCAGCUAGCAAGCCGCACCAUUCUAAACUGGAGCCCAGGCAUCCUUGGCGGCGAAGCCAAAUAACCUCGUCACAAACUUCGAGGCUUUUCGCAUAAAAAAAAAAACAAAAAGAAUACCAAGUUACAAGCCAACUAUUCCGCGACCAGGAAGGAUAAAAGGCAACCAGGAUAUCUUAUACGGGAUAGCGGCCGGUUGUUUUCGCGCCGGUUCGCGGUGAUCCGGUCCGUUGGAGGGUGAGGAACCGCGCGGUCAAAGCGGUGGACAUCGCGCUCGGAUACCGGGUUCGGCACGUAACCGUUUUAUGC
rnacentral:lncRNA from 1 species